rnacentral:lncRNA from 10 species
CAUUUGUUCAACAAGAGCUUGUCAAAUGGCUCCUACGGAUAAGUGUGCUGGGCCCUGAGUGAAGCACUGAAGAUACAGCAGUGAACAAGGACAGAUGGGAUUUUCAGCCUUCAAGAUGGCCAUGGAUGAUCCCUUUCUCAUUGUAUUCAUGCACUUAUAUAGCCCCUUUCCACAUCGAAUUAGGUUGACCUUUGUAAUCAAGAGAACAUUCUGGAAUGAUGAAGUAGUAUGCCUGAAGUGAGGUCAUUAGAAACAUUGUGAGUUCUUGUUUUCUGGGGGAAGCCAGUGGCCAUGUUGUGAGGGUACUCAAGCAGCCCUAUGGAGAAGCCCAUGUGACCAUUUUGGAAGUGGAUCUUCCAGCCCCAGUCAAGCUUUCAGAUGACUUUAGCCCUGGCCAACAUCUUGACUGCAACCUCAUGAGUGAUCCUAACCCAGAAUCACUCAGCAAAGCUGCCCUCAAACUCCUGUCCAAUAGAAGCUGUGAGAUAAUAAUUUGUUGUUUUAAGCUGCCAUGUUUUGGGUGUAAUUUGUUACACAACAAUACAUAGCUAAUGCACAGGUCUUCAGUGAGUAUCAGUCUGUUGGAAAAUUAGUUAUUGAUUUUAAAACUCACACCAAUAGCUAUAAAAUUGCAACUAUGAAAAUGGCUAUAAAUGGCUCUAUUGGGAGGAGCUGACCUAGUCAGAGAGGUUACAAAAGGAUUCCUCGAGAGAGUAAUGGCUGAUCUGAGGUGGAAGUAGAAGAAGGUGGGAAAGAGUAUUCAGGUUGGGGAGCAGCUUGAGCCAAGGCCCUGGGUUGGGAGGAGCCAACCCAGGCACAGGAGGUAAGCAAGGAG